UACGAAGGGUGCAAACGUUGCUCGGAAUUAUUGGGCGUAAAGCGCACGUAGGCGGAUCUUUAAGUCAGGGGUGAAAUCCCGGAGCUCAACUCCGGAACUGCCUUUGAUACUGGAGAUCUUGAGUCCGGGAGAGGUGAGUGGAACUGCGAGUGUAGAGGUGAAAUUCGUAGAUAUUCGCAAGAACACCAGUGGCGAAGGCGGCUCACUGGCCCGGUACUGACGCUGAGGUGCGAAAGCGUGGGGAGCAAACAGG
rnacentral:rRNA from 1 species